UCAGCGAUGACCUCACCAAAUCCUAAAUAUUUCAAACAAACUCAAGAAUGUACAUUAAUGCAAAUUUACAUUAGACAAACUCAAAUACAAAAUCACAAGAAAUAAAGAUAAUCCUCUCGAAUUUUUGAAGUUCGUAUAGCACUUAAGAGUGACUAAUUAGCCUCCAGAUACAAGAAAAUCUAACAGAAGCAGAAACUGAGAAAAGUGAUUAGGAAACAAUAAAACUCCUAAUGUAUCUUAUUCUCAAUCAUGUAUCAUGUUUAAAGUGUGAUGAACAUUAGCCACAAAUG
rnacentral:lncRNA from 1 species